UUUGUUCCGCCGCCGGGUGGAACGGACAAACACCUUAUUUUCCGCCGUUAGGCCUUUGAAGACGGAAAAUGCGGUGUUUUUUUUAU
rnacentral:ncRNA from 1 species